AUUGAACGCUGGCGGCAGGCCUAACACAUGCAAGUCGAACGGUAACAGAAAGCAGCUUGCUGCUUUGCUGACGAGUGGCGGACGGGUGGGUAAUGUCGGGGAAACUGCCUGAUGGAGGGGGAUAACUACUGGAAACGGUAGCUAAUACCGCAUAACGUCGCAAGACCAAAGAUGGGGACCUUCGGGCCUCUUGCCAUCGGAUGUGCCCAGAUGGGGUUAGCUUGUUGGUGGGGUAACGGCUCACCAAGGCGACGAUCCCUAGCUGGUCUGAGAGGAUGAUCAGCCACACUGGAACUGAGACACGGUCCAGACUCCUACGGGAGGCAGCAGUGGGGAAUAUUGCACAAUGGGCGCAAGCCUGAUGCAGCCAUGCCGCGUGUAUGAAGAAGGCCUUCGGGUUGUAAAGUACUUUCAGCGGGGAGGAAGGGAGUAAAGUUAAUACCUUUGCUCAUUGACGUUACCCGCAGAAGAAGCACCGGCUAACUCCGUG
rnacentral:rRNA from 1 species